ACAAGCCUUCCCUGCAUUCUGUGGUCCAUAUUGUAGGAAACAAUCCUCUCCUGCCACCACGACUGCCCCUUCCUGCAUGCGAUCCAUUAGAUAUCAGCUAACAAAGACUGUGUUAAAGGAAACUUGAAGCCAAUGUACAAGCAAAGAGGAUUUUCAAAAAAUAGCAAGGGCCUUAAAACAAGAAAACACCAACACCAAAGGAAAUGGAAGAAAACUUGUUGUGAUGCUGAUUUAGCAUUCUAAGCCCUAUGAACACAAAGACUGAUAUCACCAGAAAGGAUUCUGUGAUGAAGAGCAUUACAACACUCAGAAGGGCAUCCACAUAUGCACGACAAAGAUUUCAAACUGAAUGGACAACUUUCAACAAUACAUCUGUAUUAUUAUAGCAUCGCUCUGGGAUAGUCUUGAUUCCUGAUGUAUACAAUUAUAGGGGCCUAAACAAACCUCAAAUAUUUAGCAUGUCCCUGGCCUGUACAACCAUUACCUAGACUUAGCUUUGGCUGAGGAGGAAAGUACUUUACCGCAGCACUCCUGCUUUAAUUUUGUAAUCUCUUUCAGAGUCA